rnacentral:rRNA from 1 species
UACGUAGGGUGCGAGCGUUAAUCGGAAUUACUGGGCGUAAAGUGUGCGCAGGCGGCCGCGCAAGUCGAGUGUGAAAGCCCCGGGCUUAACUUGGGAAUUGCGCUCGAAACUACGUGGCUGGAGUGUGGCAGAGGAAGGUGGAGUUCCAGGUGUAGCGGUGAAAUGCGUAGAGAUCUGGAGGAACACCGAUGGCGAAGGCAGCCUUCUGGGCCAACACUGACGCUCAUGCACGAAAGCGUGGGGAGCAAACGGG